UACGUAGGGACCAAGCGUUGUUCGGAUUUACUGGGCGUAAAGAGCGUGUAGGCGGUCCGGUAAGUCAGCUGUGAAAGUCAAGGGCUCAACCCUUGAAUGCCGGUUGAUACUGUCGGGCUAGAGUCCGGAAGAGGCGAGUGGAAUUCCCGGUGUAGCGGUGAAAUGCGCAGAUAUCGGGAGGAACACCUGCGGCGAAGGCGGGUUGCUGGGCUGACACUGACGCUGAGGCGCGAAAGCUAGGGGAGCGAACGGG
rnacentral:rRNA from 1 species